UACGAAGGGGGCGAGCGUUUGUUCGGAAUUACUGGGCGUAAAGGGCGCGUAGGCGGCCGAUCAAGUCAGAUGUGAAAGUCCUGGGCUUAACCUGGGGACUGCAUUUGAUACUGAUUGGCUUGAAUGCAGGAGAGGAUAGCGGAAUUCCCAGUUGUAGAGGUGAAAUUCGUAGAUAUUGGGAAGAACACCGGUGGCGAAGGCGGCUAUCUGGACUGUGAUUGACGCUGGAGGCGCGAAAGCGUGGGGAGCAAACAGG
rnacentral:rRNA from 1 species